rnacentral:rRNA from 1 species
GACGAACGCUGGCGGCGUGCUUAACACAUGCAAGUCGAACGAAGAGCGAUGGAAGCUUGCUUCUAUCAAUCUUAGUGGCGAACGGGUGAGUAACGCGUAAUCAACCUGCCCUUCAGAGGGGGACAACAGUUGGAAACGACUGCUAAUACCGCAUACGAUCUGACCUCGGCAUCGAGGAUAGAUGAAAGGUGGCCUCUACAUGUAAGCUAUCACUGAAGGAGGGGAUUGCGUCUGAUUAGCUAGUUGGAGGGGUAACGGCCCACCAAGGCGAUGAUCAGUAGCCGGUCUGAGAGGAUGAACGGCCACAUUGGGACUGAGACACGGCCCAGACUCCUACGGGAGGCAGCAGUGGGGAAUCUUCCGCAAUGGACGAAAGUCUGACGGAGCAACGCCGCGUGAGGGAUGACGGCCUUCGGGUUGUAAAGCUCUGUUAAUCGGGACGAAAGGCCUUUUUGCGAAUAGUGAGAAGGAUUGACGGUACCGGAAUAGAAAGCCACGGCUAACUACGUG